rnacentral:tRNA from 1 species
UGGCUCAGUGGUUAAGAGCACUGUCUGCUCUUCCAGAGGUCCUGGGUUCAAUUCCCAG